rnacentral:rRNA from 1 species
CUUGAACGCUGGCGGCAGGCCUCACCCAUGCCAGUCGAGCGGAGCGGCGGACGGGUGCGUAAUGCCUAGGAAUCUGCAUGGUAGUGGGGGAUAACGUCCGGAAACGGGCGCUAAUACCGCAUACUAUCAGAUGAGCCUAGGUCGGAUUAGCUAGUUGGUGGGGUAAAGGCCUACCACGGCGACGAUCCGUAACUGGUCUGAGCGGCUGAUCAGUCACACUGGAACUGAGACACGGUCCAGACUCCUACGGGAUGCAGCAGUGGGGAAUAUUGGACAAUGGGAGAAAGCCGGAUCCAGCCAUGCCGCGUGUGUGAAGAAGUUCUGCGGAUUGUAAAGCACUUUAAGUUGGGAGGCGUUACCAACAGAAUAAGCACCGGCUAACUUCGUGCCAGCAGCCGCGGUAAUAC